rnacentral:rRNA from 1 species
GCUGCGGAGGUCUGCUAUCCAUGCAGUCGAGCGGUACAGGAGAAAGCUUGCUUUCUUGCUGACGAGCGGCGGACGGGUGAUAAUGUAUGGGGAUCUGCCCGAUAGAGGGGGAUAACUACUGGAAACGGUGGCUACUACCGCAUAAUGUCUACGGACCAAAGCAGGGGCUCUUCGGACCUUGCACUAUCGGAUGAACCCAUAUGGGAUUACCUAGUAGGGGGGGAAAAGGCUCCCCUAGGCGACGAUCUCUACCUGGACUGAGAGGAUGAUCACCCACACUGGGACUGACACACGGCCCAAACUCCUACGGGAGGCAGCAGUGGGGCAUAUUGCCCAAUGGGCGCAAGCCUGAUGCAGCCAUGCCGCGUGUAUGAAAAAGGCCUUAGGGUUGUAAAGUUCUUCUCCGCGGGGAGGAAGGUGAUAAGGUUAAUACCCUUGUCAAUUGACGUUACCCGCAGAAAAACACCGUCUAACUCCGUGCCAGCAGCCGCGGUAAUACGGAGGGGGCAAGCGUUAUUCGAAAUUACUGGGCGUAAAGCGCACGCAGGCGGUCAAUUAAUUCAGAUGUGAAAGCCCCGAGCUUAACUUGGGAAAUUGCAUCUGAAACUGGUUGGCUAGAGUCUUGUAGAGGGGGGGUAAAAUUUCCAUGUGUAGCGAUGAAAUGCGUAAGAUGUGGAGGAAUACCCGGGGACGAGGGGCCCCCC